GACGAACGCUGGCGGCGUGCUUAACACAUGCAAGUCGAACGGAAAGGCCCUGCUUUUGUGGGGUGCUCGAGUGGCGAACGGGUGAGUAACACGUGAGUAACCUGCCCUUGACUUUGGGAUAACUUCAGGAAACUGGGGCUAAUACCGGAUAGGAGCUCCUGCUGCAUGGUGGGGGUUGGAAAGUUUCGGCGGUUGGGGAUGGACUCGCGGCUUAUCAGCUUGUUGGUGGGGUAGUGGCUUACCAAGGCUUUGACGGGUAGCCGGCCUGAGAGGGUGACCGGCCACAUUGGGACUGAGAUACGGCCCAGACUCCUACGGGAGGCAGCAGUGGGGAAUAUUGCACAAUGGGCGGAAGCCUGAUGCAGCAACGCCGCGUGCGGGAUGACGGCCUUCGGGUUGUAAACCGCUUUCGCCCGUGACGAAGCGUGAGUGACGGUAAUGGGUAAAGAAGCACCGGCUAACUACGUGCCAGCAGCCGCGGUGAUACGUAGGGUGCGAGCGUUGUCCGGAUUUAUUGGGCGUAAAGGGCUCGUAGGUGGUUGAUCGCGUCGGAAGUGUAAUCUUGGGGCUUAACCCUGAGCGUGCUUUCGAUACGGGUUGACUUGAGGAAGGUAGGGGAGAAUGGAAUUCCUGGUGGAGCGGUGGAAUGCGCAGAUAUCAGGAGGAACACCAGUGGCGAAGGCGGUUCUCUGGGCCUUUCCUGACGCUGAGGAGCGAAAGCGUGGGAGCGAACAGGCUUAGAUACCCUGGUAGUCCACGCUGUAAACGGUGGGUACUAGGUGUGGGGUCCAUUCCACGGGUUCCGUGCCGUAGCUAACGCUUUAAGUACCCCGCCUGGGGAGUACGGCCGCAAGGCUAAAACUCAAAGGAAUUGACGGGGCCCCGCACAAGCGGCGGAGCAUGCGGAUUAAUUCGAUGCAACGCGUAGAACCUUACCUGGGUUUGACAUGGAUCGGGAGUGCUCAGAGAUGGGUGUGCCUCUUUUGGGGUCGGUUCACAGGUGGUGCAUGGCUGUCGUCAGCUCGUGUCGUGAGAUGUUGGGUUAAGUCCCGCAACGAGCGCAACCCUUGUUCACUGUUGCCAGCACGUUAUGGUGGGGACUCAGUGGAGACCGCCGGGGUCAACUCGGAGGAAGGUGGGGAUGACGUCAAGUCAUCAUGCCCCUUAUGUCCAGGGCUUCACGCAUGCUACAAUGGCUGGUACAGAGAGUGGCGAGCCUGUGAGGGUGAGCGAAUCUCGGAAAGCCGGUCUCAGUUCGGAUUGGGGUCUGCAACUCGACCUCAUGAAGUCGGAGUCGCUAGUAAUCGCAGAUCAGCAACGCUGCGGUGAAUACGUUCCCGGGGCU
rnacentral:rRNA from 1 species